rnacentral:rRNA from 1 species
AUUGAACGCUGGCGGCAUGCCUUACACAUGCAAGUCGAACGGCAGCACGGGGGCAACCCUGGUGGCGAGUGGCGAACGGGUGAGUAAUACAUCGGAAUGUACCCAGUAGUGGGGGAUAACUAGUCGAAAGAUUAGCUAAUACCGCAUACGCACUAUGGUGGAAAGCGGGGGAUCGCAAGACCUCGCGCUAUUGGAGCAGCCGAUGUCCGAUUAGGUAGUUGGUGGGGUAAAAGCCUACCAAGCCUGCGAUCGGUAACUGGUCUGAGAGGACGACCAGUCACACUGGGACUGAGACACGGCCCAGACUCCUACGGGAGGCAGCAGUGGGGAAUUUUGGACAAUGGGGGAAACCCUGAUCCAGCAAUGCCGCGUGUGUGAGAACCCCGGUUCGGGUUGUAAAGCACUUUUGUCAGGGAAGAAUACUUCUGGGUUAAUACCUCGGGAGGAUGACGGUACCUGAAGAAUAAGCACCGGCUAACUACGUGCCAGCAGCCGCGGUAAGGAGUAGUA